GGCCGACGCACAAGCAGGAGUGUCGGUUAUUCACCGCUUCUUCAGCGUAAUUACGACCGUGGUGAAAUUUGUGCACAUGCACACAUACGGUUUCCCUGGUGUCGCAGUAAGGUGUCACCUUCAAGGCUGGGCAGAACAUUGCAAGCUCCUGAGCCCCUAACUUCAGCAUGCAUAAGGAUGGCUCUAUAAGCGUAGCGAAACUGCGCAGAGGAUGGGUUGUUAUUCUAUCCUCCACGUUGACGGAUGCAGCUGAAUAGGAGCUCCAAGUGAUCUUGACUCAGCCUGUAGGAGCAGAUGUACCUGUGCAUUGGGAGGCAUCUCGGUCAAAGAGCAUCUCUGCAAGUUCAGCGACACUUUUCAAUGAAAAUGCCAGGCUUAAGACGGACAUCCGCCUCCCAUCCAAGACUGCAAGUUUCCCCGACGGCAAAACAAGUGACAUGAGCUUUCUAGACAUUGCAAGCAUGGUUGUCUUUUGAGAGGAGAAGGACCCUUUGCGGAGGGGAGCCUUGAAAUUUGGGCUCGUGGAC